rnacentral:RNase_P_RNA from 1 species
CAAGUGUGCGGCGCGGCCGCGCGAUACGGUGCCGAAAGGUAGUACCGUGAGGAAAGUCCGGGCUUCAUAGGGGAAGGAUAACGGAUAACGUCCGCCGGGGGUGACCCCAGGGAAAGUGCAACAGAAAUAAACCGCCGCGUAUUGCGGUAAGGAUGGAAAGGCGAGGUAAGAGCUCACCGAUCCCGCGGUGACGUGGGAUGCCAUGUAAACCCUAUCCGAAGCAACGCCUUUGGGCGGCACCGAGGUGCCACGGCUCCCCGCCGUUGUCCCGCUGGCGGCAGGGGCGCAAGCCCCGAGCUUUGCGGUAACGCAGGGCAAAGAUAGAUGGUCGCGACCCGGCAACGGGGACAGAACCCGGCUUAUAAGCACAGUUGUAAA